rnacentral:lncRNA from 1 species
AUAUUUGAAUAUUUUAAAGCUUCACUAGCAAAAAAUGUUUUUCCUUCUCACGAGCGUUACUCGACACAGACAUUAUCAACAUUAUUGCCUUUAUUACAUAUAAAUUGAUUUGAAAAAUUAAAAAACGAACCGAACUGACUGACCUAAUUGAAUAUUUGAAUAUUUUAAAGCUUCACUAACGAAAAGUAUUUCUUUCCUUCUCGCGAGCGUUACUCGACACAGACAUUAUUAACAUUGUUGCCUGUAUUACAUGUAAAUUGAUUUAAAAAAUCAAAAAACGAACCGAACUGACUGACCUAAUUGAAUAUUUGAAUAUUUUAAAGUUUCACUAACGAAAAGUAUUUCUUUCCUUCUCGCGAGCGUUACUCGACACAGACAUUAUUAACAUUGUUGCCUGUAUUACAUGUAAAUUAAUUUGAAAAAUCAAAAAGCGCGAACCGACUGACCUAAUUGAACCUUUUAAAGCUUCACUAGCGAAGACAUUUUUCCUUUUGACACUCGUUACUCGACCCUUCGUACCAUAAUUCGCGUAACACGCUCCAAUUAAUUCCGUCAUCCCGAGACGGCCGUAACGUUUACCAGCGAUCUCUCGUCGCGACAGGACGAGAGAUCGAUCAGUAUGCGCGAGAGCGCUCGGCGCAUCGUCAUCGCGUCAUUACGCGUCGCGAAGGUGCCGGGAUUUGCGUCGAAGCGCGUACGCAUCCGCGCGCGUUGUCGAUGAUCCAGUCAUCGUCGCGGAACUCGCCUCGCGAAGCGUGUACGUGAUCGUCUGGGUCGGCCGGCCGGCUCGCUCGCUCGCAAACCGCCUCACCAGCCGUGUUGGGCGCAGACGACGAUAUACGGUUUCAGCUCGCGAUUCAGAUAUCAGAUUCCGCGGUUCGUCACCCGAAUCAAACCGCCGAGUGCGUGUCGGAAACGCAGCGAUGCUCGGCUGCGAUUACGCGGCUCAAUUGAAAUUAUUUCGAUUAAUUCCGCGCUUAGCGCACGCGGUACGUAAAGACCGCAAGUCCCACUGACGACGCACUAACGAGCAUAAUACACAAUUUCACAGAAGUAGAUCAAGUCGGGCGGAAAGCUCACUGUAUUUGACAAACGUGCAAAUUAUGCGUGCAACGAAAGACCGGGACGUGGCGUAACGCGAGGAUAAAAAGACGUUGAAGAGAACGAAUAGUACAAGAAAAAGGAGCAAUCGGCUUCGGUCCAGAACAUCCGUCUGCGGAAAAAUGGUCGUCGAUGCGUUGGCGCUUACUCGCUUGCUUGUUCGUUCGUUCGUUCGUUCGCUCGGCCGACCAGCGCGGCGACCACAUGGCAACAGCGAGAUCUCUCGCUCUGCAUUCCUCUCACCCUCUCCCGAUCGGUCUUCCUCCUUCGGCUAUUCUAUAUUCCGUCUCGUUCCCUCCCGAUUCAUGCGAGCCGACGAGAUGCAGCGAUCGAAAGAAGAAAAGAGAGAGAGAGGAAGAAACACGGAAUGAGAGAGAGAGAGAGAGAGGGAGAAGGGUUGAGAAGAAAAGGGAGGGAAAGACUUGCAACGAGCGAGCGAAGAAACGCACGGAAGAGACGUGGAAGAGGAGAGCGACAGAGAAGAGAAGAAGAGAGAGAGAGACAAGAGAUGAGCGUAAGAUUCCCGUUCAGGUAUACGAAUAGGUUCGUUCAAAUUCCCUUUUAGGACUCUGCGCGUUCCUCCCUUUCUCAUUCCCAUGAUGCGUUGGAGAUGUAUCCUUGUUACCGCACCCUUAUCAAUUUUGAUAGCCUCCCUUGAUAGCUUCAUCUCUCACGAUCGGCUAAUAAGAUCGGCAACAGCUCUUAUCGAUGCACUACUUCUUGCUGUUCUUCGACAGAGUUUAUUUGCUUCUUUACGGGAACGCUUUUUCAUCAUCUUUUGUGAAUUCAGUACGAGACGCACAAACCAUAAAUCUAUUCUACUGCAAUUUUAUAAAACUCUUUACAGAUGUAUUUUUUUAUGGAACUCGGUUUCCUCGUAUUCUGUUUGCCGAGUAGUUAAUGCAACAAUGUGAUUCCAUUACACUGAUUUGAAAAAAAUUGCCUCGUUUGGUAUGAAAAGCGAUGUGUAUUUGCAUCGCUGCGUUAUGAAAUGUUCUCUGUUGUUUCGCAUGUCUAUUUAUUUUCCGAUAUUCCUUGUCAUAUUUCACAAAAUUUAAUGAUUGUCCGGAACUAAACGUGCAUCAUGAGGAAUCGAUAGCCGUUCGAGAUAAAAAAUGUUUCAUACAAAUUACAUCGGUUUCCUAGAUCCGAUGACUACGCAAAUCGCUUCAAGGAACCGUGGUCAAAGAUACGAUCUAUUACGCCCGCGGAAAUAAAAUCGUGACAUCAGCCAGAGCGAACGAUCGACUUCUCAGAAUGUAUUCCGAUCACAAUGGCACCUAACUAUAAAUCUCGCAAAACAAUUCAUAUGCAUGCACAGCUUUUUGAUCGUUAUCACAAAUUGUCCUCGUAUUCGCAAGCGGAAAAUCGAUAAUGUUUGUCUCGAUUCCAAAGAUAAAAUAUUCUCGCGGUGCAACGAGCCAUCGUUAUUGUUGCUAUUAUUAUUUCGCGCCAACGAAUGUCCUAAAUCGAUUCGGGAUUCGCGAGAACCACGCGAUCCACGCGAUCCGGGAACUACUCGUGGACGGAACUCGACCGCGGAUCUCGUGUACGGAGGCGGCUUCUGGCAAAAUUGGCUCCGGGCCGACGGAGACGACUACGACGAGACUACGACGCACGAGCACGACGGUGAACCAGAAAGGGAAAGACCAAGGGGAAGAAGUGACACGUCGCGCGUAUUCGCGGCCGGAGGAACACGCGAUUAUCCCCGAAGUAGGCACCGAAAAUACCGAUGGAGGAACGGGUCAUUGAUUCCUCACCCGGCAUCGUGCCAAUACCUCUCAUCCACUUCCUUCAUCUUCUUCUUCCUCCUUCUCCCUAUUCGUCUCUCCCUCUUGACCUGCCCUGUCCUCCUCCGCGUUCCGCGGUGUGCACGCGUUGUUCCUCGUCGUGUCGGAUGAUUAUAUCGACCGCGUAGGAGGCUGGGCCAAAGCCAGAGAAACUGCGGCUCGCCGCACCACACUGUAUCUAUCUUCAGGGAGCGAAGAAGAGAAGAGAGAAAGAGAGGGAAGGAGAGGAUCGGGAUACAGGCAGAAGGGACGAGGACCAUUCCAUUUACCAUGAUUUCCACGCCAAUACAGACGUUUAUAGCCGAAGUUACACGUGUGGAUGCGUGUGCCAUCGACGUCGGAUCACCGUCGGCGUAACGUCUGCCGUCUGUUCGCCAAGAACCUGUCCCUCUACGUCCUCAGCUUUGGAUCACCGACACGCAUCGCUGCGAAACGUAUCACGGGUCCAGCGAGAUUUUUGCUCGACGAUAAUCCCCCAAUAAGAUAAGGUUCUCGGCAGUUCCUCGAAUUCCUCGGCGGGAUCCCACGCGGGAUGAUUGCCAUUAUGAUAUAAAGAUAUCAAAGAGAACCGUUUAGUUCAAGAAUAAAAAGCUCAGGAGCGAUUGUUUCUUGACGGGGUUGACACUAAUCUCGACAUCGGAUCGAAACGAUAAAGUCCGUGGUGAUGUGUAACAUUGCGAUCGGCCAAACUGCGGCUGCCUCAAUGAGCUCCGACUGAGCGAUUAAAUCCGAUAACACGUGUAAAUACGUUUGCUCGAAUUACACAGUAAUCCGUCUAUCACGAAUCUGGGGCACAUUCGAGUCGCUAGAGAUGAAAUUAAAUUGAAAUUCAAAUGAUCUGUCGUAAGAGAUCAAGAGAAAUAAAUAUCCGCAUCAAGUACUGUAUAUUUACGAAAUAUAAGAAAGACAUGAAAUAUUGAGUAAGAUAUGAAAUAUUGAUAGAAAUCGAUUAAACGUAAUUACAACGUAUCUUAAUAAAGUUCCAUCUAUAUAUGCAAUGUAUUGUUUUGUACUUUUAUUCUUCAUUCCUUGAACGUUGAAAUGAAUAUUAAAGGAAGAAGUUUAAUAAUUCAUGCAAUGUAUAUCUGCAGGUAUCGAGAAUUCUCGGAUUAACACAGUUUCUUGGGGAAACUAGCGUCACACUCUCGAUUAGUCCCAAAGCGAGAUUCCAAAUGUCUUUGUAAAGCAAAGCGUGGGUGUGAGAGAAAGGAUACAACGGCGAAUAACAACGAGAGAUUAAUUCUGUUUGAACGGGCGCUGAGAACCAGAGAACGAGAGGAGAGCGGGAGGACAAUGCCUCCUUUUUCGUGUUCGCCCAAUUAUGGAAGCGCCCGAGCGAGGUUGUAAGGAUCUCGGGCGCCAUCGAGGAUAAAGGAGAUUUCUUUGCGAGGACUUAAACCACGAACGUCGAUCCUACGUAAGGACACUCACCCGUCUUCGUCAUCCGAGGCGAAAGGAAUGUAGAGGAUUUCGAAGGAAUGUCCUUUCGCAAAUGACUCAUCCAAAUAGCGCAGUACUCUUGAGGCUAAUUUGUAUACGUUUAAAUAAUUUAUUUCAAAAGGAAUAAUCCUUCGAAACAACUCUUCCUUUUUAAGAAAGAUAAGAAAAUAUUUAAUAGGAUAUAAAUAAGCUUUAAGGCAAUAAAUUUUUGUAAUAAAUGUAAAUUAUUGUAAACAUAAAUAAGAUAUUGUAAGAAUUCAUUUUAUAUUCGUUUUCGAGAAUAUAUUUAAUGUAUUCUAAGAUAUGUUCAAUACUUGAAUCUAAUUAGGAUAAAUUCGUCAAUCUGUUUGGACGCAAUAAUAUGAUAACGACGAAGUUCCGGUUUCAGUGAAUAUCUAAUAUCUGGACUCAUAAAAAUUACAUUUGCUGCCAAAUUUGAACUUUUUGUGAACUACUUCUCACAUCGUUUUUAUUGCUCGAAAAAUAGCUAUGAAAACGUAAAUAAUAACGAAAAUUUUAAUAAAAAACUCUUUUAUUAUGGACUAUAUUUCUCUCUUGAACUUUCCAUUUGCUUCUUCGAUUUAUGUAUGAAUAUUUCAUGAACAAAAAAAUAAUAAGAUUACUCUGAAAUUAUGGAAAAGGAUUACGAUGUGUCCUUUGGCUGUAACUUUGAUCACUUAUUUUUCUUCGCUUAGAAUACGCGUGCUAAUCCGGAACUGUGGAUGUAAAGACGACUUUUGUCAAACUUCCCUUCUCCGAUGAGAAGGCUGAAAGAGAGACUAAGCGGCAGAGAAUAUACAUGUCUAUCUCUCUCUUUACAUACAAUAUACAUAUACAUAUAUACAUGCAUACCGGCCGCAACAGGAAUAGGUAAGCGCUUUCGUGUAUAUACGGGGGCGCGCGGGCGCCCCGAGAUGAAUAAUAAUGAGAGACAUCCAGGGGUGCAGGGGAACACCUCGUCGGGCGCCUUUUCGUAAAAAGGCCGUUAAGGUGCUACCUUAACGAUCCUCUGGGCCCCACGCCGCCGCCGCCACCGCCAGGGAAUAAGGGACCUGGAGCCCUGCACGUGGAAUGCAGACACGUAAUGCUCGCAGAAUGCGCCCGGGCCGCCGACCGCCAGGAAUUAUUAGUGGAUUCGUGUAGAAGAAAGAGAGAAAGAGAGAGACCCCCUCUGAAUGCAGCCUCGAGCAGGUCCAUACGUGCAGCAUUGGCGCGUGUAUACACAAGGGCACACAGGUACGAACAGGUACGAACGGGGACCUGCCGCCGGUCUCACGGAGGCCCGAACCCUCGAGCUCCCCUCUGCCCCUCUCGCUGUGGGUCCGUGCGAACCUUUGUUCGCGAUUCGACGAGUCCGAAAUCGAUGCGCG